UAAAAGACGCUUUUGUCCAUUACUUCCACGCGUUUGUCGUCGAUGGAUGCUCUCUAUUUGGACCGAGUGUUUUCCAUUUUUUUUUCUUGCUUUCCCUUGCCUUCUCACAGAUCUAGAUCUAUGUUCUGUUCUUCUCGACCUUAUCCUUUAUCGAUCUCAGUUUGUGGUGCCUCGCCGAUUACGGCCUGCUCUGUUCCUCUCAAACCCUUGAAAGCAUCGUCGAUCAGAUCUCUGUUUCGAGUUUAUCCAGUGGAUUUUUGUUUUUCAUUCCACUGCUGUCUCUCGAUUUGUAUUGCCUCUCUGAUUCUGGCUUUGUCCGUGUGUGUCCAACGGUAGAAACCGGCUUAAAUCAAUUUUCUGUGCCUUGGUUCUGCUCCUUGGGUCGCUGACCUGGAGAUUCAAUUAUCAAAAUUUUGGUGUUUUCACAUUACUGAUUCGAAUUGGUCGUUGCUGAGAGGAUCAAAUUGCUCAUCAUCCAAGUAUAAAUGCUGCUGUGGAGCUGCUUAAAUGAGGUUAACCACAAUUGCCUAAGGAAAUGAACCCCCUUGCUCAUCUUGGUCUCUCUCUUCCCUCUCGCUCAUCUCACUCCGUCUCAAUUCCGAAGCUCAUAUUUAGAACAAAGAGGGUGUGCUUUACCACAAGGAUAUUUGUCUUGCAAAGUAAAACUUUCCCAUUCAAAAGUUUGGAGCCUUCACUUAGUUGUGUGUAUGCGUGUGCCUAAGUUGUUCGAGAAUUGGUUGUUUCAACAGCAUUGAUAUUGCAUUGGUUCUGCAUUCAAUGUAAAGGGUAUCAUGGAAUGCCCUAAUUGUCGCGAAAUUGAGAAUGGCGAAUGGAGGUACUAUGUAUCUCGUAGCCCUGACCAUGAGCUCUACCUAUCCGAGGACGAGAUGGAUUAUGAGAACAGUCCUAUAGAGUUCCUUGACAUGGUAAAAGUAAUGACAGCAUUUAUCAAUAUUACUUUUUUUUCUUUCUUCUUUCAAAUCAAACAAGCUUUGCAUAAUGUUGUAAAAUUUGAGUGAAUCGCAAGUAUGAGCCAAGAUACAAUACGAUGUGCACACCCUUGCAUAACAAGAUGCGAGAACUAAUGCGCGUAGUUUAUAAAUUUGUAAAUGGAUAAAACCAAUUUAUAUUGUUAGACUGUAAAUUUCAUCCAUUUCGUGAAUAGCAUUGUCCAUUGCACGCCAUACCUGGUUGUUUAAUGUUCUUUGUACAAAUAUUUCUUAGUUCAUACAUACGUUUGUGGAUGUUUUAGGGGCUACAGGGAACUACGCUACGCGGUUUCCAUCAUGGUGAAUGGUAACCAUUGUUUCUACUCUGCAAGCUCCUUAUUUUCCUUCUGCUUUUGUGUUAAAUAUUGCUCUCAUACCAUCUUAACUGUCAUAUGAAUAUACAAAUCAUUCUGUUUUAUUAACAUGUGAAAAUUAUGUAAAUUCGUGUUGCGUAGGCUGUUUAUUUAAUAGGUCAGAUUGAUUAAGUUAAAAAACCUUGUGGGUUUAAGAACUCUGCUACAUUCAUGCUUAUAAGAAUAGCACAUGAUUUUUCUUUUUUAUAUGAAGUUUAUGAAAACUUGGGAGCAGCCUCUCCAUAAAUGGGGGUAAGGCUAGCCGACAUUCACCUCUCCCAGACCCUGCGUAAAGCGGGAGCCUUGUGCACUGGGUAUGACCUUUUUAUAUGAAGUUUAUGAAAAGAGGAUUGUGGCUGAAGCUGGAUGCUUCACAGUAUCGUAAGAAGAGUCUGAUGAUAGUCAUGUCAAAUAGUCAAAUAUGUUUUGUAUUGAUCUGUCUUCUGCAGGGAUUGGAUGUCUUAUCAUAUAUGCAUACGUGUUUUAAUCUCCAUUCAUGUGCUACCCUUGGAUCUCUUUCCAGAUAAGUUCUAAGAUUGUUGUCUCGUCGUUUGCUUGUAUUGAGUUUGGGCAUUAGUGAACCUAUUUCUCUUUGUAUUAGUGAACCUAUUUCUCUUUGUAUGAGAGUCAAAUUUCUUAAUGCAGGUUCAAUCGUUGCCGAGGAUGAUUAUCAUGGAUGAGAAUGGGAAGCAGGGAAGGCGCGGGUUCGUGAGAUGGGUGCCUCCUCUUCCAGAUCAACCACAGGAGAGGUCAAUGCCUUGAAGGAGGAAGUGACAACCCUAAAAGGUCAACUUGCAGCCCAGGGCAAGCAUAUGAGGGCCUAGGGCGAGCAGAUGAGUAUUAUUGUACGGGCUUUACAGAUGUCCGGCCUCUAAAUCCCGAUGCUAGCACCUAAUCUUGCUCCACCUUCGACCUCCCAGCCAUUUCGCCCAGCCGAUACCCAGUAGUUUGAUGUAUCAAACAUAGAAGACUACUUGUUGCAGUUUUUUCUUUUUUGUUCGGACAUUUUGUAUGUACAUUUUCAUAUAUUUUAUAAUCAAAUACUUUUUUUUGUUUAUUAA